GCAGAGAUGCUUUGGUGCCUUCGGGAACUGUGAGACAGGUGCUGCAUGGCUGUCGUCAGCUCGUGUUGUGAAAUGUUGGGUUAAGUCCCGCAACGAGCGCAACCCUUAUCCUUUGUUGCCAGCGGUUCGGCCGGGAACUCAAAGGAGACUGCCAGUGAUAAACUGGAGGAAGGUGGGGAUGACGUCAAGUCAUCAUGGCCCUUACGACCAGGGCUACACACGUGCUACAAUGGCAUAUACAAAGAGAAGCGACCU
rnacentral:rRNA from 1 species